rfam:Candidatus Portnoybacteria bacterium RIFCSPHIGHO2_01_FTLL_40_12b rifcsphigho2_01_scaffold_1866, whole genome shotgun sequence.
GCCGGGGUAGCUCAACUGGUUAGAGCGUCUGACUCAUAAGCAGAAGGUUGUGGGUUCGAGCCCCACCCCCGGUA